rnacentral:rRNA from 1 species
AUGGAGCAACUAGCCAAGUGCAGGGGCAUCCCAGCUUGGGCGGCGGCGUACGCCAGCGAUCCAUCCUCGUCCUCAUGGGAGGAGCGGGCCUUCGCACGCGAUGCCGCGGCCGACCUGCUGGUGUGGCCGCCGCGCUCCUACUCCUGCACCUUCUGCCAACGCGAUUUCCGGUCGGCCCAGGCGCUCGGCGGCCACAUGAAUGUGCACCGCCGAGACAGGGCACGUCUCCGUCAUGGCGACGACGACCAAGCCCGACAAGAACAAGCUGAUGAACCGCACCAGGACGACUCUACCAGUGCCAUGUACAAGCAGCUAGAGCUAUUCCGUAACCCUAGUACCACCACUCCUUCCCACCUAUCAACCAUCAUCAAGGAGAGGAAUAACAACAAGGUCGUCGUCUCCAUAGCAGUGAGAGAUCAAGAAGCUGCAGAUCACCAAUACAAUGACAGACAGGAUUUGGAAUUGUCGGGGAGGAGGAAGAGGAGGCGUGUAGAUCAGGCGCCGGUGGCGCUUGCUUCGCCAUAUGGACAAGGAGCCUUCCUUGAUCAUUCCAAGGUAAUUAUGGAAACAAUCGCAAACCCUAGUAGUUCUAGUCUUAAUCCCCACGUGGAUCAAGGAGAAGUAGAUCUGUUCCUCAAGAAGCAAGGACUGGUAGAUCUAGAGCUUAGGCUUGGGAUUAAUCCAAAUGUUGCAUCACACGCAACUUAG